UGGGGAAUAUUGGACAAUGGGCGAAAGCCUGAUCCAGCAAUGCCGCGUGAGUGAUGAAGGCCUUAGGGUUGUAAAGCUCUUUUACCCGGGAUGAUAAUGACAGUACCCGUAGAAGAAGCCCCGGCUAACUUCGUGCCAGCAGCCGCGGUAAUACGAAGGGGGCUAGCGUUGCUCGGAAUCACUGGGCGUAAAGCGCACGUAGGCGGCUUGUUAAGUCGGGGGUGAAAUCCCGGAGCUCAACUCCGGAACUGCCUUCGAUACUGACGAGCUUGAGUCCGGGAGAGGUGAGUGGAACUGCGAGUGUAGAGGUGAAAUUCGUAGAUAUUCGCAAGAACACCAGUGGCGAAGGCGGCUCACUGGCCCGGUACUGACGCUGAGGUGCGAAAGCGUGGGGAGCAAA
rnacentral:rRNA from 1 species